rnacentral:rRNA from 3 species
UUGACCUCGGAUCAGGUAGGAAUACCCGCUGAACUUAAGCAUAUCAAUAAGCGGAGGAAAAGAAACCAACAGGGAUUGCCCUAGUAACGGCGAGUGAAGCGGCAACAGCUCAAAUUUGAAAUCUGGCUCUCGGGCCCGAGUUGUAAUUUGUAGAGGAUGCUUUUGAUGCGGUGCCUUCCGAGUUCCCUGGAACGGGACGCCAUAGAGGGUGAGAGCCCCGUCUGGUUGGAUGCCAAAUCUCUGUAAAGCUCCUUCGACGAGUCGAGUAGUUUGGGAAUGCUGCUCUAAAUGGGAGGUAUAUGUCUUCUAAAGCUAAAUACCGGCCAGAGACCGAUAGCGCACAAGUAGAGUGAUCGAAAGAUGAAAAGCACUUUGAAAAGAGAGUUAAAAAGUACGUGAAAUUGUUGAAAGGGAAGCGUUUAUGACCAGACUUGGGCUUGGUUAAUCAUCUGGGGUUCUCCCCAGUGCACUUUUCCAGUCCAGGCCAGCAUCAGUUUUCGCCGGGGGAUAAAGGCUUCGGGAAUGUGGCUCUCUCCGGGGAGUGUUAUAGCCCGUUGCGUAAUACCCUGGCGGGGACUGAGGUUCGCGC